rnacentral:rRNA from 1 species
CAGAGGUCCCAAGCGUUGUUCGGAUUUACUGGGCGUAAAGGGAGCGUGGGUGGCAUUCUAAGUCUGAUGUGAAAGCUCUGAGCUUAACUCAGAAAUGGCAUUAGAUACUAGUUUGCUCGAGGAUUGGAGGGGAGAUUGGAAUACUUGGUGUAGCAGUGAAAUGCGUAGAUAUCAAGUGGAACACCAGUGGCGAAGGCGAAUCUCUGGACAAUUCCUGACACUGAUGCUCGAAAGCUAGGGGAGCAAACGGGAUUAGAUACCCCGGUAGUCCUAGCUGUAAACGGUGCACGCUUGCUGUAGGUGGAAUCGACCCCGCCUGUAGCGAAGCUAACGCGUUAAGCGUGCCGCCUGGGAAGUACGGUCGCAAGAUUA